ACAGACGUUACUAGUCCUUCAUCACUCCGAUCAUGGACCAUCCCACGUCUCACUGCAGAACUUAGAAGACACUGCAUCCCUUUCCCAGCUACUGCUAGGAAGUCAGAGUUGUUUAGACUUUUAAACACUACCUCGGACAACUCUGAUGCAGGGGAAGGCCCUAGUGGCACACGAUUGCCGGCGUUUCACGCCAUGAUGAUUUCACUUAUGUCAUCCAUCAGCACAAUUAGUGAUAGGCUGGAUAAAUUGGAAGCAAGUGGCGCUAAACAGACUGCUACAAACCCUAUUGUUGCCAGUCACCCUCUCGCUGACAUUAUACCUGGUAAUACAUCGGAAUCCAUAUCAAUAAUUGAAGCUAUUAAUCCUUCGCACAGGCUCCAAUCUCACCUUAAAAAGGACAUUCUGGAAGGCAAGGAUGUAAACCUGGUUUCAUUGCUUAUAGCCUCCCAGGAUGUCCUAGAGCAUAGGACAUUUGCAUAUGGGGAUAUAUCAGUCGUACUAAGGGCAAGAGAACCGAGGCUGAACAAAAAAUUGACCAUCCCUGAAUUUGUACUAGGUUUUGGGAUCUGUAGGGAUGUUUACUGCUCCGUAUACCCGGGGAAAAGAGUAGAGCUGGAUGCAUACAUGCACAAGAUGGUGGACCUGGGGCACAAAUACGGUGGUACCGCUUCUUACGAUUACCACCGUUCCUUUUCUGAAAAAGGUGACUGCAGCUCUGGCUCAGUUCAAUUUAAGCAUUAAUUGGAGCAAAUUGGACACUGAGUUAUUCUGCAGGCAUUUUGAAGGCCUCAGACCUCCAGCUUGUGCAGUUUGUGCCUCUACAGCACAUCACACAAAUUUCUGCCCAAACACAGCAGAAAUCGAACAAAACCAAACUACCUCUAACUUUCCAAAAUCUGCUAGGGGAUUAAAA